CUUGAUAUCAAGUUUGAAGCAAAGAAAGCUAUUAAGUCCCAGGCAAUAGCAGAUUUCCUCGCCGAGUGGAUCGAACAGCAGCAGCCGACUGAAGUUCACUCGGAGCAUUGGACCAUGUUUUUCGAUGGUUCUAAGAUGUUGAAUGGUUCCGGUGCUGGGGUUGUCCUGGUUUCCCCCAGAGGAGAUAAGCUCAGAUAUGUGCUUCAGAUUCACUUUGAUUCCUCCAACAAUGAGGCAGAAUAUGAGGCCCUCCUAUAUGGGUUGCGCAUGGCCAUUUCACUCGGCGUCCGUCGCCUAAUGGUCUAUGGCGACUCGGAUUUAGUGGUCAAUCAGGUGAUGAAAGAGUGGGACGUGAGAAGCCCAGCCAUGACUGGAUACUGCAGUGCAGUGAGGAAGCUGGAGAAAAAGUUCGAGGGGUUGGAGCUCCAUCAUAUACCCCGACUGAAAAAUCAAGCAGCUGAUGAUCUAGCAAAGAUAGGUUCCAAGAGAGAAGCCAUUCCGAGUGGUGUGUUCUUGGAGCAUAUACAUACUCCGUCAGUCAAAGAAGAUCCUUUCACCGAA
rnacentral:rRNA from 1 species